ACGUCGGCGCACGCGAUUACGACCGGUAUUUCGUUCCGAUAAAGCCGUAUUUUAAUCAUUUGCAACCGGCUUGAUAACAAUUGAAGGCUUCUCAACACGUGUGCAUAGUGGAAAUAAGUCGACACGCUUGAAGCCAUACGUUUACGAAGUAAGAGCGAGAUUGGUCGUGUUUGCUUUCGUCCGUCGAUAACAAAAAUACUCGGAAAAUUCGUGAUUAUGUAAAUUGUAAACAGAAGUGACGCUUCGUGAAAAUUAAUAAAGAGUGAAGAGAUAAGAUGACAAACAUUUGUACGGCAAAAUGAAUAUAGUUCUUUCGGAGUUAACAGGCGAUCUAAUUCAUUUUAUGUUACGUACUUAUUAUGAAGAAGAACCUCGGCCGCAAUAAUGUGGAACUAUUCAGCGGUAGACAACCCGGGACAAAUCAAUAGGAUAGACAGAGUUCGUCUCUUCUGUUCGGAGUGUAUUGUGUGCUUUUGUAUUUUAUUCUUCAUAGUAUGCGUUGGUCUGUUACUGUACCUCUUCUUUCAUUUGUAUAAUACGUUGUCAGCUGACGCUAAAAUUGUAGUCGAGAGCUGACUGAAACGCGUGUGUGUGUGUCGUAAUCGGCUUUACAAUUUUCAAAUUUAUCGUAUCAAAUCUUAAUUUACAACCAUGCUUUAGGCAUCACUGAACACAAUUAUUUUUUUAAGCCUUGAUGGGUUAAAAUGAAUUGUUAUGAAUAACAACGAGGAUGAGUCAUUUCUAACAAUAAAAAUUAAUGCUAGUCGAAUCGAAUGAAUUAGUUAUAGUAAAAUAGGAAGUCAUUGUAUUAAAUAUAGACGUUUUUUAGCUUGGAUUGCAGUGUCUUCGUUUUCAAAAAGAAAUGUAUUUUCUAUUGGAGAGACGCACUAGAACUUUACCAUCCACGAAGAUCAUUAAAAUACUCCAUUAUAAAAUGGCUUCGAUAUUUGUAAUAGAUAUGGGUUGUGAACCGCAGUUAGAACACCCUAUUUAAAAUGUCCUCUUAAUAUUAUGUGAAAUGUAACUAUUUAACAUGGUAGCAGUACUUUGAUAGAAAAUCGAUCAAGCAAUUAAUUCUAAAUCAGACCAAAAAAUCGUUAAAUCAAAACAACAUUUGCGAGAUUUCGCAUUCAUUAUUUUCGUUAUGUUAUUUCAAUAAUGAACGCGAUAAUUAAUCGUAAAAGUAGCUUUAAUUUUGUCUACGGCUCGAGAAAGACAUAGACACGAUUAACUGAAUUACAUAAUUGCAUAAGUAAUCGGUACAUAUAACUUCGCGAGACAACAAACUCAAGGAUAAAAUAAAUAACAUGUCAAAAGAAACAAAGUGAAACUAAAUAAUAUUGAAUAAUAAAUUAAAAAGUUCCUAUUUAAAUGGUCAUCCGUGUUGGCGUUAUCAAAUGUGUAAAAUGAAAAAUAUUAAUGAAUAUUAUAUAAAAUUAUCAAUAAAUGAGUGAUUGACUUGAUUGGGAUGAAGCACUUUUUAAUUAAGAACACGCCUAAAUACAAAAAAAUGGAAAAUUAGAGAAAGUUUAAAUUCAUGAAAUCGUUACUUUUUUGGUCGCAAAAUUGAAAACGACCUAUUCAAUGAAAUUCGUAUACUGUUCAAAUUUUAUAUUCGCAACAAGAACUCAGUCUAAAGUACAGUUUCCGAGCAAUGAUACUUUAUAUAAGAUUAUACUAUACUUAUACUGUAAGUUCGAUGCAAAAUAUUGCUUUUUAAUAGGACGAAAUUCAAGCAACAUUCCCCCCUAUCAGACCGAAUUAAGAAACGUAAUAAGGGAUAAUACUACAACUUUGAGAAACAUAUAACAAAGAAACAAUAAACUUAAUGUAACAAGAUAAGACAGAUAAAAUUCUAAACCAAACAAACACUACGACACAAUCCCAAAAGAAUCAUUUACGAUUGAUACAAAAUUAAACAACAAUAAAUCAUGUUGUGUUGAUGUUCCAAAAAAAACACAUAUUAAUAAUUAAAAGUAGGUCCCGUAGUUCAAAGGGUUAAUGACCUUUUUUAUUAUCAUAUCGUAGGUAAAACGAGGACAUUGUAAUAUUUAAAACAAAAGACGUCUCUAGGCAUCUACGUACAUAUAUAUCGGUUUAUGUAGACUAGUUGAUAAGAUUGUAACGUUAAAAAAGUACUUAGUAAAAUGUUGUUUUUUA